rnacentral:misc_RNA from 1 species
GAUGAAGAACGCAGCGAAAUGCGAUAAGUAAUGCGAAUUGCAGAAUUCAGUGAAUCAUCGAAUCUUUGAACGCACAUUGCGCCCGCCAGUAUUCUGGCGGGCAUGCCUGUUCGAGCGUCAUUACAACCCUCAGGCCCCCGGGCCUGGCGUUGGGGAUCGGCGGAGCCCCCCGUGGGCACACGCCGUCCCCCAAAUACAGUGGCGGUCCCGCCGCAGCUUCCAUCGCGUAGUAGCUAACACCUCGCGACUGGAGAGCGGCGCGGCCACGCCGUAAAACACCCAACUCUUCUGAAGUUGACCUCGAAUCAGGUAGGAAUACCCGCUGAACUUAAGCAUAUCAAUAAGCGGAGGA